CAUCCACAAUGGUGCAAUGCACAUGGAUUCUGGCUCUGGUAAUGGACAGGGAGCAGUCCCUGGAGACAGGGCCACACUUACCCUAAUGACAGUCUCCGGGGUCUUCAUCCAGCCUGAGCACCCUGCAUGGAGCCCGGCCUGAAGUGCUCCAGCUCAGAGGAGGAGGAGGGAGAGGAUGAUGAAACUAAGACUAAGAGAAGUUCACCAACUUGUCCAAGGCCACAACUCACAGUGGAAUCUGAACUCGGCUCCAUAUGACUCGAGUCCCACGAUCUUUUCAUGUUCCCUGCUACCUCUCCCUCUCAGCCUGCUACAGUGAUGGGACAUUUAUGAACUUGCAAAAUGCUUUCUCACAAAUGAUCUUAUUUGAUUUUCACAAACAUGUGUGAGGCAGGUAUAAGUUCUGUUCUAUGGAUGAACAAUUGGUCUUCAGGUAAAGAACAACUUGUCCAAGGUCAAAUAGCUGAUAAGUAUCUGGGAACUGGGACCUAAAUACACAUUUGAUGAGUAACUUUGCCACAAUAUCUUAUCUGGACACUUGAAAACAUACUCCAGCCCUGUCAUAAACCCAGGAGAAUUUGAAGAUGUCCCUCCCUACUUACAGCCUGGUUUCAUGAUCACUAGAAACUUGUUUAACUAAACUCCUUUCUGUUCUCAGGAUGGCUCAGGGGACUGAGCUGGAAAAAAAAAGGCCUCAGAAGGGAAAUGGAGGCCCAGAAAGCUUUGGUGAGCAGCUCGAGAUUACAUAGGACAUGGAGACCAGAACUCAUGUUUCCUCAAAUAGUUCAUUUCCAGGGGGCUUUUAGGCUAUUAAUUCUAUAAUCUGCCCUCUGUCUGCCUCAGGGACUCUCCCCUCCAACCCCCAUUUGGACCAUGAACUGAUGCCAAUGGCACCAAGGAAGCAUCAACUGAUACUGGGCAGAAGGGCAGGGCAGUGGCCCCUGGGAGUCUUCAUGGCUCCUCUGGCAGAAAGUACCUGGAGGCAUCAGCUCAUGGACCUGGAGCAUAUCAGCAAGGAACAGAGAUAAACUGUACCGCAUCACCACCCUGGCACUACUCAUGAGAAACUUUCCCAACCAUUAUGCUUGGUUGACUUGGCCGGAAAGGAGUUAACACACAACAUGUGAGGAGUACACUGA
rnacentral:lncRNA from 1 species